CCGAAUGGCUUCGGCCUUCAACCUUCAAACCCGUGGAAGCAAUCCGUGCUUCGGCGCUCCGGCGCCGCAUUUAUGCAGAUAAGCAUUUGUGUCUGAACAUACAUGAGAAUUA
rnacentral:misc_RNA from 1 species